AUGGUCCUGAUGCCGCCGAGAGCUCCGCGCCUCGCCGCUGCCGUCCUCCCCCUCCUCUUCCUCCACCUCCUCACCCCCGCGGAGGCGCUGCCCUUCGUCGUUCUGCACGGGAUUGGGGGCCAGUGCACCGACAGCAGCGUCGCCGAGUUCACCCGGCUCCUGGCCGACUGGUCCGCCGCCGACGGCCACUGCCUAGAAAUUGGAAAUGGGGCACGGGACUCCUGGCUCAUGCCUCUCCAGGAACAGGCUGAUAUCAUGUGCAACAAGGUAAAGGAGAUGAAAGAGCUAAGCGGCGGCUAUAACAUUGUUGGUCUGUCUCAGGGGAACUUGGUUGGCCGGGCAGUAGUCGAGUAUUGUGACGAUGGACCACCGGUCAAGAAUUUCAUCUCACUCGCUGGGCCUCAUGCCGGUACUGCUUCCGCGCCACACUGCGGUUCUGGUUUUUUCUGUGUUAUUGUUGAUGCCCUGAUCAAAUCCGAGAUUUACUCAGACUACGUGCAGGCACAUCUUGCGCCAAGUGGUUACAUCAAGAUCCCAACUGAUAUAGAUGAUUAUCUGAAGGGAUGCAGGUUUCUUCCCAAACUUAACAAUGAGAUACUAGGUGAAAGAAAUGCUGCCCACAAGGAAAGGUUCAGCAACCUAGAGAAUUUAGUACUGAUCAUGUUUGAGAAUGAUACCGUCCUCAUACCGAGGGAGACGUCAUGGUUUGGUUAUUACCCUGAUGGAGCCUUUGAUCCAGUCCUACCUCCUCAGCAGACAAAGCUAUAUCAGGAAGACUGGAUUGGUCUGAAGGCCCUGGAUGACGUCGGGCGAGUCAAGUUCGUGUCGGUGGCAGGAGAUCACCUGGACAUCUCCAACAGUGACAUGAGAAAACACAUCCUGCCUUACUUGAAGGACAAACCAUCUGCUUGA
rnacentral:rRNA from 1 species